CACGUAGGGCGCAAGCGUUGUCCGGAAUCAUUGGGCGUAAAGCGCACGUAGGCGGUCAUGUAAGUCAGGAGUGAAAGCCCUCGGCUUAACCGGGGAAGUGCUUUUGAAACUGCAUGACUUGAAUACUGGAGAGGAUCGCGGAAUUCCCGGUGUAGAGGUGAAAUUCGUAGAUAUCGGGAGGAACACCAGUAGCGAAGGCGGCGAUCUGGACAGAUAUUGACGCUGAGGUGCGAAAGCGUGGGGAGCAAACAGG
rnacentral:rRNA from 1 species